GCCCGGUUAGCUCAGUCGGUAGAGCAUUCGACUUUUAAUCGAAUUGUCGGGGGUUCGAGCCCCCCAUUGGGCG
rnacentral:tRNA from 4 species